UGUGGAUGAAAGCCAUGAUUCGAAUUACUUUAGGAAAUUCUCAGUUUUUUUUUCCCUUUCAUCCUAUAUUCUACAGCAUGUCAUGUAUUCCAGCCUGUUUGACUUUCUGUGGUUCCGCACAGAUUCUCAGCAGCAGAGAGGUCCUCUACAGCAAUGUGAUCAGAAAGACAGAGCAGUAUGGAGACAGGGUCUGCCAGUGGGCACAAGGCCUUGUGGGUCCACCCAGUAACCAGAAGUCACCUGUCUUCUGCUGGUGUGAGUCUCACCCAGCCACUCCUCCUCUCCCUGUGCCCAGGCAGGGCUGGCCCAAGCCUUGCAGCUCCAAUAAUGAAGAAUCGCCUCAAGGUGGCAGGAUCUUACCAGAUGCUGUGCUGAUGCUUCCCUCCACUGGCUUGUGGUGAUCCCAAAGCAUCUCCAGGAGAGGGAGAACCUGGAGGAGGCAGUGGGCUUGGGCUGGAGCCAUGGCAGUGAAGAUCGCCGCCGACCAGGCGAGAGGCCAGUGCGGACUCCGUGCAGUGAGAUGAAUCUGAGGUUCCCCCGCCUCGCGGUUUUAUUUUUUGUGACCUGUUCCCACGAUUACCUAUCAUGUUGCAGUCCAAGGUGUGCCACAGGCCAAUGAAGGUUGGCCAAUGGAUAACAAGGAGCUGUAGAGGACACAAACGAUGAACCAGAAUUCACCCAUUUGCUGGUUUGGAAUCUCUGGGACCGCGAUGGAAAUUCUUCCUUUGAGGACCAGGACGUAUGAUCCCUUAAGUCCCGUGGACAAACCUUAGACCUGUACCCAGUGGCCCAGACCUAUUUUGUGUGUUGUUUCUAGUAUUUUCCAUACUUACUUUUAUUAUCUUUAAUUUGUGGAAAGAGGAGUUGGGUUGUUCUACAUGCAGACAGCCUGCUGAGAUGAAGUUUUACUUUGCUGCUGAUGGCCUGGGUCACACCUGUGUGAGGGGAGAAGGAAUUUGCUGUGAAUGUAAGGUUAAGCCUUCUGUUCCCAGAGAAUGCCAGCAGGUGAUUUUAUCAAUAUAAAAUGAUUUAAAGUAGGAAGGUUUUGGGAUACUUCCUGACUCUGCUCACCCAUUCUAUUCAGAUUUUUUUUUCUGCCAUAGGUUGACUUAUUUCAUUUGAAAGUUUGCAGUGGCAAACUACUUUUUGUGGUCAUGAAAGUAUGUUUGUAGUGAUACUUUGUCUUGAGAACUAAGUGAAGAAAUUAUAAUUCAGUAUGCUACAUAAUAAGGCAGUUUGCAAAAAUGCAAACAUACCAUAAUUAAACAUUUGCUUUUGUUCUGCAGUCAUUCUUGCACUGGUUAUGACCCUUCUGCAGGCUUCUGUCCACUUCCAAUUCGUGAUCCACAGUACUUUCUUUUGUUAUUGUCAUGUUCAAGUGGAACAAGAAUCAGUUGAACAUGUUCAGCUGACGUGAGUCUGUAUUUUCUCCAAGGCCGCCUCAAAACCAAGGUCCUUAGAUUGCUGGACCUAACCACAGGGCCUGGUCUACACUCACAGCUGAAUCCUGGAGAGUCCUGAGCCUGGGAUGGGUUCAAAAGCAACAGAAAAGACUAAUGAGAGCGCAAAGGAGCCA
ensembl:lincRNA